UGCAAGUCGAGGGGCAGCAUCAUCAAAGCUUGCUUUGAUGGAUGGCGACCGGCGCACGGGUGAGUAACACGUAUCCAACCUGCCGACAACACUGGGAUAGCCUUUCGAAAGAAAGAUUAAUACCGGAUGGCAUAGUUUUCCCGCAUGGGAUAAUUAUUAAAGAAUUUCGGUUGUCGAUGGGGAUGCGUUCCAUUAGGCAGUUGGCGGGGUAACGGCCCACCAAACCUACGAUGGAUAGGGGUUCUGAGAGGAAGGUCCCCCACAUUGGAACUGAGACACGGUCCAAACUCCUACGGGAGGCAGCAGUGGGGAAUAUUGGUCAAUGGACGAGAGUCUGAACCAGCCAAGUAGCGUGAAGGAUGACUGCCCUAUGGGUUGUAAACUUCUUUUAUACGGGAAUAAAGUUAGCCACGUGUGGUUUUUUGUAUGUACCGUAUGAAUAAGGAUCGGCUAACUCCGUGCCAGCAGCCGCGGUAAUACGGAGGAUCCGAGCGUUAUCCGGAUUUAUUGGGUUUAAAGGGAGCGUAGGCGGGUUGUUAAGUCAGUUGUGAAAGUUUGCGGCUCAACCGUAAAAUUGCAGUUGAUACUGGCGACCUUGAGUGCAACAGAGGUAGGCGGAAUUCGUGGUGUAGCGGUGAAAUGCUUAGAUAUCACGAAGAACUCCGAUUGCGAAGGCAGCUUACUGGAUUGUAACUGACGCUGAUGCUCGAAAGUGUGGGUAUC
rnacentral:rRNA from 1 species